CCUACGGGAGGCAGCAGUGGGGAAUAUUGCGCAAUGGGCGAAACCCUGACCCAGCAACGCCGCGUGAAGGAAGAAGGCUUUCGGGUUGUAAACUUCUUUUAUUAAGGACGAAACAAAUGACGGUACUCAAUGAAUAAGCCACGGCUAACUACGUGCCAGCAGCCGCGGUAAUACGUGGGGGGCAAGCGCUAUCAGGAUUUACUGGGUGUAAAGGGCGUGUAGGGGGGACUGCAAGUCAGAUGUGAACCCCAUGGGCGCAACCCAUGGACUGUAUUUGAAACGGUAGUUCUUGAGUGAUGGAGAGGCAGGCGGAAUUCCGGGUGUAGCGGUGAAAUGCGUAGAUAUACGGAGGAACACCAGGGGCGAAGGCGGCCUGCUGGACAGUAACUGACGCUGAGGCGCGAAAGCGUGGGGAGCAAACAGGAUUAGAUACCCGUGUAGUC
rnacentral:rRNA from 1 species